GGAGGAUUACCCAAGUCCGGCUGAAGGGAACGGUCUUGAAAACCGUCAGGCGGGUAAAACCGUGCAAGGGUUCGAAUCCCUUAUCCUCCUUUC
rnacentral:tRNA from 1 species